rnacentral:rRNA from 1 species
AUGCAAGAAGAAGACUUUGAAAGAACAAAGAAGUUUGGAUCCGCAAAAGUAUGCUUAGGCAGUUCCUUCGCUGAGCACAACAGAAUGAAGAGGAAUUUUAAUUCGACCUAUUGCUCCGGAUCCCCGUUUACUAGGAAGAUAAUAAUCAAAAGGAUCGAACUACCUACUCAUUAUUCGGAGGUGAAUCAUAGAACACUAAAAGCUGUGGUAUCUUAUGGACCUAACAUAGGUCACAUCCCUCACGACAUAAGAUUGAAAGAUCCUCCAUUCACACAAUCCCACGACCGACUACGGUCAAGAUCCAAAUGA